CCUACGGGAGGCAGCAGUGAGGAAUAUUGGUCAAUGGCCGAGACGCUGAACCAGCCAAGUCGCGUGAGGGAAGAAUGUCCUAUGGAUUGUAAACUUCUUUUGUCAGGGAGCAAAGUCACCCACGUGUGGGUGUUGGAGAGUACCGGAAGAAAAAGCAUCGGCUAACUCCGUUCCAGCAGCCGCGGUAAUACGGAGGAUGCGAUCGUUAUCCGGAUUUAUUGGGUUUAAAGGGAGCGUAGGCGGGUUAUCAAGUCAGCGGUAAAAUCGUGGGGCUCAACCCCGUCCAGGCGGUGAAACUGGUGAUCUUGAGUGGGCGAGAAGUAUGCGGAAUGCGUGGGGUAGCGGUGAAAUGCAUAGAUAUCACGCAGAACUCCGAUUGCGAAGGCAGCAUACCGGCGCCCGACUGACGCUGAAGCACGAAAGCGUGGGUAGCGAACAGGAUUAGAUACCCUAGUAGUC
rnacentral:rRNA from 1 species